rnacentral:rRNA from 1 species
ACUCAAAUGAAUAGACGGGGACCCGCACAAGCAGUGGAGUAUGUGGUUUAAUUCGAAGCAACGCGAAGAACCUUACCAGGUCUUGACAUCCUCUUGAAUAGUGUAGAGAUAUGCUAGGCUUUCGGGACAAGAGAGACAGGUGGUGCAUGGUUGUCGUCAGCUCGUGUCGUGAGAUGUUGGGUUAAGUCCCGCAACGAGCGCAACCCUUAAUUUUAGUUGCCAGCCGUAAGAGGGGCACUCUAGAAUGACUGCCGGUGACAAACCGGAGGAAGGUGGGGAUGACGUCAAAUCAUCAUGCCCCUUAUGACCUGGGCUACACACGUACUACAAUGGCCGGUACAACGGGCAGCGAAACCGCGAGGUGGAGCGAAUCCUAAAAAGCCGGUCUCAGUUCGGAUUGCAGGCUGCAACUCGCCUGCAUGAAGUCGGAAUUGCUAGUAAUCGCGGAUCAGCAUGCCGCGGUGAAUACGUUCCCGGGUCUUGCACACACCGCCCGU